CUCUGGUGAUCCAAAAAACGAUAUCGUUUCAAUAAAAUGGGUGUGGCUUUGGACUUUGCUUUUCCAACUUUUUAGUUUUUGCUGUGAUUUAGCUGUUGAAGAGUUAAGAGAUUGGAGUUUCAGCUUCCAAUUUGGCUUUCUUCAUCGAUUCAUUUUACUAAUCCAAUCGAAUCCUUGAAAUUGUAUCCUAUCAGGCGAACGUGAUUUCUGUACCUGCUCUACAACUCCAAUCCGAUCAAUUGCUUGAAUUCUUAUAGGCCAGACCUGUGCCUUUCAUCUUCUGAUAUCGAUUUCUAAAAUUUUGAUCUUUGAACGCGGCAAUCCGUGCAUUACAAAUGGCUUUGGCCGAUGUCGCCAAAGCUUUCCUCGAUUCCUUUGGCCAAAUGUCAGAACAUAUUGAGGGUGCCAUUCUUUACCUAGAUUCUGGAUGCACAGAGAGUUUCCAAUUUGCUGGAGUUUUUCCUAUAUUAUUAGACCUUGGAGUUCGGGCUGUUUGUAGCCUAGAAAACCUGUGUUCUCUUGAUGUGGUGAUUAAUUGGAAUGCAAAUUCUGAUCCUACAACUAAAAUUGUUGUUAUCACAUCUCGUCUACUUAGCGAUGCACAUCGGUAUAUCUUACGUUGCCUAAGCACACAUCAAUGUGUUCAACGUUUUACAGUGUACACAUCUAUCUCAGAGAUAGUUCAUUCAGCAUAUCCUGAUUCACCUCUGGGACCUGAUGCAUUCCAUGAAUAUGAAUCCUUGCUUCUUCAAGAUUAUGAGGAGCUCAUUAAGAAACGUGGGACAAAAUCUGGACUCUCAAAAGAUAAUGACUUCCAAGAAAAUACAAACUUUGAAGAUGAAGGGUGGUCACAUCUCACAUCCAGUGAGGAGGAAGUCCCUCACCUUGGAGCUGCUUCAAGUGCAAAAAAUUUUUCUGGAGAUGAUGAGUACAUGGAAGAUGCAGGGCAAAAGUUGGUUGUUUCAGUGCAUCACUUCCCCAUGAUUUUUUGUCCCUUGUCACCUAGAGUAUUUGUCUUGCCUUCAGAGGGUUCAGUUGCUGAAGCAUGCUUAUCAAUUGAACAUGAGGAUUCAAUUAGUCUGGGAUUGCCUCCCAUAAGUUCUGGAGUGCCUCCUGAUGGCGAUGAUGUCCCACCUGGGGCACUUCUCACAGCACAUUUUCUUUACCAUCUAGCUGCAAAGGUAAGGAGUUCUAUACACAUGCUUAAUCCUAGACAUUUUGUUCCCUUGGUUGUAUUAUGAUAUAUAUAUAUUUUUUUACUUGUGUCUCUUUUCCUUGGUUGUUUAAGCCAAUAUCUUUAUCCUCAAACAUAUUACUCAUGUAAAUAUGACCGCAAUAGGAAAAAAAUUGCAUCCUGUGAAAGGUAAGAUCUUUAAACUCUUACAUCCAAAGUUUACCCUUACAUAUGAAGUAGCGUUGAAAAAUUAUUUGCAUCACACACAUGGGAAGGUUAGAACAGUGAACAAAGAAAGAGAGAGAAUAACAAAACACAAGGAAUUAUGUGGUUCGGCAAUGUGCCUACAUCAUAGAUAACCACCUGCGAUUUUACACUGCGAAGGAGAAGAAUAUAAGUACCUAAUAUUCCCAUUAUUGGAAGCAUUGGUUUCCUGUAUACAUGCUUUUGACUGUGGGUAUAUGCAGCAUAUUUAAAAAAGUAGUCUAGUGGAAAAUCAUACCUUUCUUCUGUCUGCUUAUUGCUCUUUAUAUAUAUAUAUAUUUUUAAGUGUGGUGACAAGGGUUUCUUUUCUAAAAUUUGUAGAUGGACCUGAAAACGGAAAUAUAUUCCCUUGGUGAUUUGUCAAAAACUGUUGGAAAAAUUAUGACAGACAUGUCAAGUCUUUAUGAUGUAGGCCGCCGUAAACGUUCUGCUGGGCUUUUACUCGUAGAUCGCACCCUUGAUCUCCUUACUCCAUGCUGUCAUGGGGAUUCACUGGUUGAUCGCAUGUUUUCAUCUUUGCCCCGAAGAGAAAGAACAUCAUAUUCCCACAUGAAAGGCUCACAAACCCAAGUCAAACUUGGUCCUUCUAUCCUAGAACGUGCUUCUCUUAAUGUUCAGAUACCACUAGCCAAAAUAUUAAGAGGAGAUUCUGAAACAAUUAAUUCUUCCCUUUUAGAAAGGAUUGAAGCUUUUCUAGCAGGGUGGGAUGACAAUAGCUCUGCUCCUCAAAGUAUAAACUUGGUUAAUCUCUGCAAUAAAGCUCAGGAUGAGAAGUCUACUCCAUCUGAGGUUCAGUUGCUUAAUGGGUCCUUAGUUUCUACAGAAACUUUUCGUGGAACACCAUAUAUGGAAGCUAUAUUUGACAGAAGAACAAAAGAUGGGGCAUUACUGGUAAGGAAGUGGCUUCAAGAAACUUUGCGCCGGGAAAAUAUUGCCAUUAAUGUGAAAACUCGCCCUGGUUUUGCUACAAAAUCAGAGUUGAAACCCAUGAUUGAAACAUUAGCUAAAAGCCAAUCAUCAUCACUCAGAAACAAAGGAAUUAUUCAGUUAGCAGCAGCUGUACUAGUUGCCCUUGAUGAAUCACAUUGUGCAAGAUGGGAUGCAUUGACUAGUGCUGAGAAAAUAUUGAGCGCAAGUGCUGGAGAUACAAGCCAAAGUCUUGCUGCUCAAAUUAUUGACCUUAUCCAUAAGAGUACAUCGUCGGCAUCCAGUGGACAGAAAAGCAAAACUGAACCAUCGCAAACAUUACUUUCAUUUCAAGAUGCUCUGUUCCUUAUGAUUGUUGGAUAUAUUUUAGCUGGUGAGAAUUUCCCUACCUCUGGCUUGGGUGGGCCUUUUUCCUGGGAAGAGGAGCAUUUUCUGAAAGAAGCUGUUCUGGAUGCAAUCCUUGAAAAUGCAUCAGCAUCAAAGCUCAAGUUUCUCCAUGGUCUAACAGAAGAGCUCGAGGCCAACUUCAACAGAAAAAAAUUGGAAGAAACUAAAGAAACAUCACCAGAUACAUUAGCAAUUGAUGAUUUUGAUGAUGAUCAGUGGGGCAAAUGGGGUGAUGAAGAAGAAGAAGAAGAA
rnacentral:misc_RNA from 1 species